AUGACUUGCUCCACCGGGUGCUCGUCCCGGCGCCCGCCGCCGACCGUCUUCGUCGUCGGCUUCCCCUUCGUCUUCUGCGCCGGCGGCGCCACUGCCACGGCCGGCACCAGCUUCCGGGCCUCCUCCCGUAGCUUCACCUUCUCGACCUUGCCCAGCGCGUUCCUCGGGAGGACGUCCCAGACCACCACCUUCUUGGGCACCAUGAAGCGCGCCAUGCGCUUGCGGCAGAAGGCCAUCACGUCGUCCUCGCAGACCCCGGCCGCCUUGUCCUUCGCCACCACGAACGCGCACGGCGUCUCGCCCCAGUGCGCGUGCGGCAUGGCCACCACCGCCGCGUCGGCCACGGCCGGGUGCCGGAACAGCGCCUCCUCCACCUCCUUGCUGCAGAUGUUCUCGCCGCCGGAGAUGAUCACGUCCUUGGACCUGUCCUUGAUCUCGAUGUACCCGUCCGGGUGCACCACGCCGACGUCGCCUGAACGCCUUCUCGUUCGCCUCCGGGUUGUUGAGGUACCCCUUCAUGAUGCUGCUGCCUCGGAG
rnacentral:rRNA from 1 species